rnacentral:rRNA from 1 species
GACGAACGCUGGCGGCGUGCUUAACACAUGCAAGUCGAACGCUGAAGCCUGGCUUUUGUUGGGUGGAUGAGUGGCGAACGGGUGAGUAACACGUGAGUAACCUGCCCUCUUCUUUGGGAUAACGCCCGGAAACGGGUGCUAAUACUGGAUAUUCACUUGCCUUCGCAUGGGGGUGGGUGGAAAGGGUUUUUUCUGGUGGGGGAUGGGCUCGCGGCCUAUCAGCUUGUUGGUGGGGUGAUGGCUUACCAAGGCUUUGACGGGUAGCCGGCCUGAGAGGGUGACCGGUCACAUUGGGACUGAGAUACGGCCCAGACUCCUACGGGAGGCAGCAGUGGGGAAUAUUGCACAAUGGGCGCAAGCCUGAUGCAGCGACGCCGCGUGAGGGAUGGAGGCCUUCGGGUUGUGAACCUCUUUCGCUCAUGGUCAAGCCGCAACUCAUGGUUGUGGUGAGGGUAGUGGGUAAAGAAGCGCCGGCUAACUACGUGCCAGCAGCCGCGGUAAUACGUAGGGCGCGAGCGUUGUCCGGAAUUAUUGGGCGUAAAGGGCUUGUAGGCGGUUGGUCGCGUCUGCCGUGAAAUCCUCUGGCUUAACUGGGGGCGUGCGGUGGGUACGGGCUGGCUUGAGUGCGGUAGGGGAGACUGGAACUCCUGGCGUAGCGGUGGAAUGCGCAGAUAUCAGGAAGAACACCGGUGGCGAAGGCGGGUCUCUGGGCCGUUACUGACGCUGAGGAGCGAAAGCGUGGGGAGCGAACAGG